CCUACGGGAGGCAGCAGUGGGGAAUAUUGCACAAUGGGGGAAACCCUGAUGCAGCGACGCCGCGUGAGUGAAGAAGUAUCUCGGUACGUAAAGCUCUAUCAGCAGGAAAGAAAAUGACGGUACCUGACUAAGAAGCCCCGGCUAACUACGUGCCAGCAGCCGCGGUAAUACGUAGGGGGCAAGCGUUAUCCGGAUUUACUGGGUGUAAAGGGAGCGUAGACGGCGCUGCAAGUCCGGAGUGAAAGCCCAUGGCUUAACCAUGGUACUGCUCUGGAAACUGUAGAGAUUGAGUGCGGGAGGGGCAUGCGGAAUUCCUAGGGUAGCGAUGAAAUGCGUAGAUAUUAGGAGGAACACCGGCGGCGAAGGCGGCCUGCUGGACCGUAACUGACGUUGAGGCUCGAAAGCGUGGGGAGCAAACAGGAUUAGAUACCCGAGUAGUC
rnacentral:rRNA from 1 species